AGGUGCGAUCAUACCAGUACUAAUGUACCGGAUCCCGUCAGAACUCCGCAGUUAAGCGUUCUUGGGCUAGAGUUGUACUCGGAUGGGUGACUUCCUAGGAAGUCCUUGGGUUGCACCCU
rnacentral:rRNA from 1 species